ensembl:lncRNA
AUGGAUUACCACUCAAGACCUGCAAUCCAGCGCAGCCUAAGAAGGAGAAGACCUCCUGCCCGUUUUGCUGACUGUAUGGUGAGAGAAUGUGCUCCCUUUCCUCCUUCCUCACCAACACUAGUUGUAAGUGAUCAUCACCAAACCCAGUAUGGAAAUCCAUCUUCAAGACCUUGCCCAUGUUUAUGUGCUCACCAACCGUCUCAACAUGAUUUAAUCGAUAUGGAUGUUAAACAAGAAAUACUUGGACUUAAGGGUAUGCUCGGUGAGAUGAUGUCUAAAAUGUCACAGUUAGUAGUUUCCUCUAAACGUUCUGAAUUUUCUGAGUCCUUUGAUGAUGCUUCUGAUGAUGAUAAUGCAUUUGCUACUACAUCUAUUGUUCAGGAAUUGUCUGCAUGUAUUAAGAAUGCUGAACAGAAACAUACAUGUGAGAAAUGUAAUUCCUCAACUGUUCUUUCACCACCUCCAUUGAGUAGGCCUAGUUCUCUACCUCUUCCUCCUUCCUCAUUGUUACGUAGUCCACCCCAACAUAUGCACACAGACGAUAGAACUUUACAAUUACAAUCAAGUAAUAUGUUACAACCUUCUAUUGUUCCAUUGAUUCCUAAGCCUCUUAACUGUCAUUCCCGUCAAGUGCAAACAUCGCCAGUGUUGGUACAACCAAUUGGUUCACCACAGCCAGGUAUAUCAUGUAGUCCCUUUUUCCCUUCGACGGCUCAUACUCAGUUAUCCUCACAAGUAACAUCAGCACAGUUACCUCCUCAGCCACUGUAUGCUGUUUCGCAGUAUUCACAGCCGUUAGGACCAUCUUCUAGUUUGGCAAUUCCUCAUGUAUCCUCAGCUAAUGUAAGUCCUCAUGUUCAACCACAGUCUGUAGGUCAGGAAGGGAAUUUGGUUGUACACAAUCCUUCUUCCUAUAGUCAACCAAUUGCUCCCACUACCCAGAUGAACACAAUUCCAUUCCUUCAUCCGUAUCCAUAUUCUCAGCCAUAUGUUUCAUAUCCUGUUUCUUCCUAUCCUUCUUCUCGUGUUCAGGGACCUUAUUUUCCUUUCUUAGUGAAUGACGACCCCCAAGAAUUUGCAAUGUUGCAGUUAGCCUUGACAAAUUUGUUGUCAUCCCAUGAACCAGAACAUUACAAAUUCCAUAUCUUGCUGGAUCAUUUAAAAUUUUCGCAAGCUCUUGAUCUAGCUUUAGCUUAUGCUAAUGAUCCUAGGCCUUACAGCAUGGCUCUUUUUGCACUACAGCAGAAAUAUGGGCAACCUCACCAACUAGUUUUGAGAGAAAUCAAAGCCAUCCUAGCUCUCCCCAGGGUGAGACCAGGUGACAGCAGAGCAUUUAGUAGUUUCGCACUGAAGGUUCGAGCCUUGGUUGGCAUGCUCCAAUCUUUGGGCCAAGGCCAAGUUAAAUCUGAAUUAUCCUGCGCUUCUCAUGUACAGCAACUACUCGGUAAACUGCCCACAGAGCAUGUGACCAACUUUGCCCGUUAUGCCCGUACAAUCCUAAAAGGUCAAAGCUACAAUCUUAUUACCUUUUCCGCCUGGCUCCAAGAAGAGGCUGAGUGUCAAGCAAUGGCAGAUCAGGUUAGUGACUUUCCGAAACCACUCUUGAGUAAACCUCAACCAAAGACCUAUGUUAACACACGAACAGUCUUGUACGGAGUCAACGGUAAUUCUGUUGAUCCGAGAUCCACAGCUAAGCAACCCCAGAAUAUGAGAAAGGGAGAAUGGAGUUCCAAGUAUUCAUGCGCAUAUUGUUCCAGUAGGGACCAUUUCAUUGGCCUGUGCACUUCUUUUAAAUCCUUAGAUGACAGCAGGAAGAAUGCAUGGCUUAGAGAGAACAAAAGAUGUUGGAGAUGUGGGCUUAAACACCUAGCCAUCAACUGUGACUUAAAAAAGCCUUGUCCACAGUGCAAAGGCAGACAUCUUGGUAUUCUUCAUGGAGUUACAAGCCUCACCAAAUGCAGUCAUGUCUUCUCUUCGAUGUAUCGAGCGUCGCGUUCAGAGAGAUCCCACAACUGCUGCUGUGUAUGA